rnacentral:misc_RNA from 1 species
CCUAAGAGAGAUCCAACUGAACCAACUGAAAAUAUGAAACCUAUGGUCUCCUGGGAGAAAGAUGGUCCCUCUUUUGAAUCUGUAUACCAGUAGAACAUCCCCUCAUGAAUAUUCACACUCAAUGCAAAGGAUAAAUACAUAUAUAAACAUGGUCGCCACACAUCUGGGAAUUUUAAUGUUGUCCACAUAGCCUUACCAGCAUCAACAAACUUUUGGUUUACCUGUCUGUAACUAAAAUUUGCCAUUACGGGUUCAUCAAGCAGAAGUCCAACUAAAAGUACUAAUCCAGCUGGGAUUGUCAGCAAGCCAAAAACGCCCUUAGGGCCAAUCAAGUGGACAAAAAUACCACUGAUAGAGAACCCCACAAGUCCUCCAAUUGAUGAACUCAAAGCACACAAGCUUUGCAUGUCAGGCGCAAGAUGAGGAUGAGUAUUACUAUUUUGAGCCACACAGGCAUCUAUGGUCACAUCUGCUAUUGCUACACCAGCACUUCCUGCUGUCAAUGACAGCAAAGCAAAUACAAGAUGCAGGUUCUCAUGCAAUGACAACAAAAGCAUGGAGACCACACCGAGCAAUCCAGCUAAAAUGAAAUAUGGCCUCCUGCGGUACCCCAAGACAGGAAGAACGUCUGUAAGC